CCCAGCCUCUCUCCCGGGAUCAGUGGGUCCCGUUUCCUUUCACAGGUGGAGUCGGAACACAGAAGCAGGAGGCCGGGGCUCCCAGCUUGACAAACUGCAUGUUUAACCUACGACCAUCACACAUAAUAAAACGUAGUCAUCGUCAACGAUCCUUGUGCCAACUCUCUCCUCUCCCUGAACGAAGGCCGAAGUCAAGGCAGAGUGUCUUAACAAUGCAAAAUAAAAAUGCUGAUCCAGAUAACCGAAUAUGAUGAAAGGGGAUGGAGGAAACCAGCCUUUUCAAGUUUCUCCAAAGCAAAGCAAGGAACAGCAGCUUCAUUCUUGCCCGUGUUGGCUGUGAUGAGGUGGACCCUGCGGCUCUACUCCACUUAUCGUCUCUUUCCUGUACGUGUCCUGAAGGAGAGGCCUACAGUAGGGAUGCUGUGUUCUCUCGACAAAGGGAAAGAACAAGAGGCAGAGCCAUGCCAUCAACUGCUCUUAAAGCUUCUCAGAGACAGCUUCUGUCAUGGCCAUUCAUAGUCCAUUGGCCAAAGCAAGUCACACGGCCAAGCCAGCAAGUGUCCCCUAGGAGCCACAUGUCAAUGCAUGGGGACGUGUAGUCCUCUUACAGGGAAGGCAGUGGACGAGAACAUGAAUGCAGUCAACCCCAGCUUCCAGAAGGCAGAGACACAGUAAUAGUCUGUAAGCCUUACACUACUGGAAAACGUUCUUUCAUUUAACAGAUUUUUAUUAAAUCACCCCUA